GGGGUUGAUUGGAUUUGACGGCAAGAUGAGAUGGUACGUAAGCACGCGGAGCGGUGACUGUAGGCUCCAUAAUCUCUGCGGUCGGAAAAUUAAUUGGCAACAAUGAGUAUGCUCUCGCUGCCUAAUCGAAGUACAGUAGAUUACGAGCUUAAUUCUCUUACAAGGUAGGAGAACGAGACGUCGCCCCGGGGAUGUUGUCCCGAAUCUUACGGAAUAGGCGGCGCAGGCAAAUCGGGAAUAGUUUCUUAAGGCUCCGGUUGAGAAAUGAAUUUUUAGGAGAUAAGGCUCCGGUUGGUGGUCCAGGUCUUGCCGUAGCACGAAAAUGAAGUCUGGAAUAAGCGUGUAGAAAGCGUAUGGUUUCCUUGUGCGGACGAGGGUUCGACUCCCUCCAGCUCCACCA
rnacentral:tmRNA from 1 species